rnacentral:rRNA from 1 species
GACGAACGCUGGCGGCGUGCCUAAUGCAUGCCAGUCGCACGGGGCACCUUCGGGUGCUGAGUGGCGAACGGCUGAGGAACACGUGGGGGCCUGUCCGGGAGUGGGGGACUACACCGCGAAAGCGGUGCUAAUCCCGCAUACGCUCUGAGGAGGAAAGCCGAAAGGCGGGCCCGGGUGGCCCUGCGGCCCAUCAGGUUGUGGGUGGGGUAACGGCCUACCAAGCCAAUGACGGGUCGCUGGUCUGUGCGGACGACCAGCCAGACUGGGACUGGGGCACGGCCCAGACUCCUACGGGAGGGAGCAGAAAGGAGUUUUAGGCAAGGGGCGCAAGCCUGACCGAGCAACGCGGCGUGCAGGAAGACGGGCUUCGGGUAGUAAACUGCUUUUGCUAGGGAUGAUAUCAGACAGUACCUGGCGAAGCAGCACCGGCUAACUCUGUG